UACGUAGGGACCAAGCGUUGUUCGGAUUUACUGGGCGUAAAGGGCGCGUAGGCGGCAAUUCAAGUCAUCUGUGAAAUCUCCGGGCUUAACUCGGAACGGUCAGGUGAAACUGCUUUGCUAGAGUGCGGAAGGGGCAAUCGGAAUUCUUGGUGUAGCGGUGAAAUGCGUAGAUAUCAAGAGGAACACCUGAGGUGAAGACGGGUUGCUGGGCUGACACUGACGCUGAAGCACGAAAGCUAGGGUAGCAAACGGG
rnacentral:rRNA from 1 species